rnacentral:misc_RNA from 1 species
AAGGAGUCUAACAUGCUUGCGAGUAUUUGGGUGUCAAACCCGGAUGCGUAAUGAAAGUGAAUGGAGGUGGGAAGCGCAAGCUGCACCAUCGACCGAUCUGGAUUUUCUAAGAUGGAUUUGAGUAAGAGCACGUAUGAUGGGACCCGAAAGAUGGUGAACUAUGCCUGAAUAGGGCGAAGCCAGAGGAAACUCUGGUGGAGGCUCGUAGCGGUUCUGACGUGCAAAUCGAUCGUCAAAUUUGGGUAUAGGGGCGAAAGACUAAUCGAACCAUCUAGUAGCUGGUUCCUGC